UACGGGGGGGGGCAAGCGUUUGUUCGGAAUUACUGGGCGUAAAGGGCUCGUAGGCGGCCAACUAAGUCAGACGUGAAAUCCCUAGGCUCAACCUAGGAACUGCGUCUGAUACUGGAUGGCUUGAAUCCGGGAGAGGGAUGCGAAGUUCCAGGUGUAGCGGUGAAAUGCGUAGAUAUCUGGAGGAACACCGGUGGCGAAGGCGGCGUUCC
rnacentral:rRNA from 1 species